rnacentral:lncRNA from 1 species
CCCGUCGCCCCAUUCCCCCACUUCUCCCCCCCCACGCCGCUCCUCCCUCUGCCCCGAUCUGGAUCGGGGGGACAACGACGCCCUCCCUGCAAGCCCGACGCCGCGCCCCCCAGAUCCCGUCGUCGUUGGACCACGUCGCCCCGCCUGGUCCUCGUCGGAUCGACCCACCCCGCCUCCCUGACGACGCCGCCUCGCCGGACUCCACCCCAUCGAGAAGGAGGUCGCCUCGCCCUCGCCGCGACGACCGCGCCGCCCCUCGCCGUUGAACGUCGCCACGCCGGAGCUCCCCCGCCGGCCUGCUUCCACCUCUCCGCCGGACCUCCUCGUCCUCCUCCGCGAGUCGCUCCCCGCGCACCGAUGCCCAGUCCCUACGAACCCGAUGUGAGCGCGCGCCCUUCCCCCCCUCUCUCGCGUGACCUCGCCUCACGCGCCCCCGCGCCCCUCCGCUGUCCCGCUCACCAUGGCCGGGUCGCGCCCUGGCCGCGCGCGGCACUUCGUCCGGCCGGCGCCACUUCACGUGCACCCCCCGCUCCGCCUAUGCCCGGGGCCGCGCCUCCCACCGCCAUGAGCUCGCUCCGACCGCGCGUCCCACUGACGCUGCUCCUCGGCCGCCCCCUCGCGCGACCCUCCCUGUCCUCCGCUGCUGUCCGCCACUCGGCCGUCUCGCCGGUGCAGAUCCCGGCCGGCCUCGCCAUGGCCAACGCCCCCGGCUCCGGCCCCUGUUGGCUCUGCCGGCACCUGGGCAGGCGCUAGUUCGAGUCGCGCCCGCUAACGCCCGAAGCCCGCGUUGGCCCUCUAGGCCACUGACUAGGGGGCCCCACCCCUCAGAACAAAGAUUAUAAAAACAAGAAUUAAAAAUAAUAAUAAUAAUAAUAAUAAUUAAUUAACUUAAUUAAUUUUGAUUAAUUAAACUAAUCAAUUAACUAAACUAAUUAAUCAGUUAAUUAGUUAAUUAAGUAGUCAAUGACAGUGAGGCCCACCCCCUAAUUAAUCUUGAUUAGGUUAAAAAUGCUUAAUUAAAAUGUUUCACUGACCAGUGGGACCCACUGGUCAGGUUGACUAGUCAACCCUGUUGACUGCUGACGUUAGCAUGACAUCAUGCUGAUGUCAUAAAUCCUUUUUCGAAUUAAAUUAAAUAAUUAAUGAAAUUCCAGAAAUUAAUAAAAUCUUUAGAAAAUCAUAUCUUUUAAGCUGUAACUCGGAUUAAAAUAUUUUCAACAUGAAAGUUGCUCAGAACGACGAGACGAUUCCGGAUAUGCAACCCGUUCGUCCGCCACACCCCCUAACCUAUCGAACUCGCAACUUUCCCCCUCCGGCUCCUCUGCCCGAAAACGCGAAACGCCGGGGAUACUUUCCCGGAUGUUUCUCCCCUCCACUGGUAUCACCCCAUACCGCGUUAGGGCACCUCUAGCACCGAUACUUGUCAUGUCAUGCAUCACUAUGCAUCUGCUUGUCCCCCUCUUCUCUCGCUAGACACCGAGACCGACGCUGCUGCUGCCCAGUUCGACUACGGAGUUGACGACCCCUCUCUCUUGCCAGAGCAACCAGGCAAGCCCCCCCCCCCCUUGAUCACCAGAUAUCGCCUAUUCUACUCUAUACUGCUUGCAUUAGAGUAGUGUAGCAUGUUACUGCUUUCCGUUAUUCCUAUCCUGAUGCAUAGCCUGUCCGUGCUACUACUGUUGGUACCUUACCUGCAAUCCUACUUGCUUAGUAUAGGAUGCUAGUAUUUCCAUCUGUGGCCCUACAUUCUUGUCCAUAUGCUGUGCUAUACUAUCGGGCCGUGAUCACUCGGGAGGUGAUCACGUGUAUAUAUACUAUACUUAUACAUGAUACAUGUGGUGACUAAAGUCGGGUCGACUUGUGGAGCACCCGCGAGUGGAUCUUCGUGGCGGAGCGACAGGGCAGGUUGAGACCGCCUAGGAGAGAGGUGGGCCUGGCCCUGUUCGGCGUUCGCGGAUACUUAACACGCUUAACAAGAUCUGGGUAUUUGAUCUGAGUCUGGCCAUUUGGUCUAUACGCACUAACCAACUACGUGGGAAAGAUAUGGUCACUCGGCGUCGUGGUAUCAGCCGAAGCACUUCGUGACGCCAGCGACUGAGUGGCGCGCGCCGGAUUGGAACGUAAGCCUGCUCUUGUAUUAAGGGGGCUAGUUCUGUUUUCGGCCGCGUACGCAACGUGCAGGUGUGCUAUGGGCGAUGGGCCCAGACCCCUGUGCGCUUAGGUUUAGACCGGCGUGCUGGCCUCUCUGUUGUGCCUAGGUGGGGCUGCGACGUGUUGAUCUCCCGCGGCCGGGCAUGACCCAGGAAAGUGUGUCCGGCCAAAGGGGAUCAAGCGUGUUGGGUUAUGUGGUGCACCCCUGCAGGGAAGUUAAUCUAUUCGUGUCCCUCGGUAAAAGGACGACCCGGAGUUGUACCUUGACCUUAUGAUAACUAGAACCGGAUACUUAAUAAAACACACCCUUUCAAGUGCCAGAUAUAACCCGGUGGUCGCUCUCCAUCAGGGUUACGAUGAGGGGAUCGCCGGGUAGGAUUAUGCUAUACGAUGUUACUUGGAGGAUUUCAGUCUACCCUCUUCUACCUGUUGCAAGAUGGAGGUGACCAAAAGCGUAGUCUUCGAUAAGACUAGCUAUCCCCCUCUUAUUCUGGCUUUCUGCAGUUCAGUCCACUGAUAUGCCCCUUUACGCAUAUAUCCAUGCAUAUGUAGUGUAGCUCCUUGCUUGCGAGUACUUUGGAUGAGUACUCACGGUUGCCUUGUUCCCCCUUUUCCCCCUUUCUUUACCCGGUUGCUGCGACCAGACGAUGGAGCCCAGGAGCCAGACGCCACCGUCGAUGAUGACUACUACACUGGAGGCGCCUGCUACUACGUGCAGACUGCGGACGACGACCUGGAGUAGCCUAGGAGGAUCCCAGGCAGGAGGCCUCUGCCUCUUUCGAUUGUAUCCCUGUUUGUGCUAGCCUUCUUAAGGCAAACUUGUUUAACUUAUGUCUGUACUCAGAUAUUGUUGCUUCCGCUGACUCGUCUAUGAUCGAGCACUUGUAUUCGAGCCCUCGAGGCCCCUGGCUUGUAUUAUGAUGCUUGUAUGACUUAUUUAUGUUUUAGAUUUGUGUUGUGAU